rnacentral:lncRNA from 1 species
AUUAGUAGUCAGGGAGAUGCCUUAGUGCAUCCAGCACUGCAAGUCAGGGAUGAGACACACUACAACAGGAGAGGGAGCAAGCGCGAGAGGAUAUUAGAAGAGAGGCUUGUCUCCAAGAUAUGGAAGGAAGUGAGAAAUGACAGGGCUGCAAGCUUUGUAUGUAGGAGCCCGGCAGGGCGGGGGAGCGGCGAGGAGAGCCAAGUGGAUUCUCAGAAAAGGGGGGAAGCCAUCGAAGAGCUAAAGGUGAUUAGAGGGGGAUAUUGAUUUCUUAUUCUGCCAGAGAUUUAAGCAGGCAUGCGAGGAAUCUGCACCAUGGUUGGCAAAAAGAGACCCGUUGCCUCCUGUAACCAGACACUCAGGCUUUCCAGGAGCCCAGGGAGCAAGCCGAGAAGAAAGGGGGCAGUGUGGUCUAGGAAAAUUCAACUUGUCGCUGAUUUGUGCCUGAUGCCUGCUGUCCGUCAGCAGCCUCCCUUACAAUCUUUUUUUCUCUCUCUCCUUUUUUUUUCCUUGCCUUCUCCUUCUUCACUGAAGCCUAGGGGAGCCAGUAAAGAUUAAAUGUGCUUCUCAAAGGCAGCCACUUCAUGCUGCUAUGUCGAAAGGGCCAUUAUUAUUAUUAUAUUUUAAUGGUAAAAGAGAAAAGGAGAGAGGUUGAGCGAGCGAGAGAGAAGCUAGGUGUGAUGAUGACAGACUAGCUUUUCUGAGAGGAAAAGGAAAAGGGAAGGGAGAGAAAAAGGAGAGCCUCUGAGCUCAACGGAGGAUUGUGCCUGAGAAGAACCCACAGAGGAGGCUGUGCGGGCCCCGCUCCGCUUCGAAUGGUUGUGUUGAUGUUCCUUUCAGCUGGUCCUAUAGUACCCCUCCUCAGGAAUGUCUCCCCAGUGCAAGGACAAAGACUGAAGAGACUGCUAUAUUGAUGGACUCUCAAGCCAACUAUGAAGUUGAAACAAAGAAAGUGAUCACCUGAAGACACCUCCUCUGCUAAGAAACACCCCCAAAUUGUGCAGCUUCUGCCACUAGAACUCUCAGAACAAGAGACAAUCUUUUCAAGAAACAGAAAAACUCAAUAAUGACAUCUAGAUUUUCAUGAGCCAAGAACUUUCCCUUCCUCAUGUGUAUUCCUCUGUUUGUACUUAAAUUCAUGUGACAUUCAUUUUUUUCCUAGUAUGGAUAUGCUUAUUAAUGCACUUGUUUCAAAAUCCCAAAUUGCACAAAUGUGUUAAUAUUUUAAGAAACAAAAUGAAUCCUACAAGGAGAAUGAUUUUUAGCCACACAUAGGGUUGGAUCUUGAGAGUGACCUACAGAAUAAAAGUACUUUUAAAAUAAAGUAGUCAGAGGCUAUUCAAAGGGUAAAAUAAUCAUAGUACCACAUUGGUCCACUUGACACUAACCAAUCGAUCAUUUUUUUUUAAUCAAGAAAGCUAGAUUCUAUCAGAUAAAAUCACUGCUUCUAAAGAGUUUAAAUCUAGUUAGAAAAAGUUAUAGAAAUGUUUGCAAAGAUAAGUAACAGAUAGAGUCAGUAGAGGAUAAGAUCAAAAACAAAACCAAGCAAAAGAUGAGUUCAGGGGAGUUUGCCAUCAAGUUGGCAAAACUGACUUACUUAGGGAAGAAAGUUAUAAAACAGGAAAAUAUGAGAUGAACCUUGAGUGAUGUGGAAGAUUUAGAUAAAUGGAAAGGAAGGAGAAAAUGGAGUUCUUUAGGUGGUUGUAAUUGGAGGAGGAAAUGAAUACACACAUCUUGUUGACUUAAACCCAGACAUUCAGCAGCUCUCUAUACAUAUCUGGAAAAGACUGCACAGUCACCUCCUGUCUCUCACCCCAGGUAUUACUUAGAAUUAUUAUCAUAUUUCCCUUCCUUUAAAGUAAGUAAGGGUGAUUGGUGACAAUAUGGAGAACUAUGAUUUUUCCAUUAACCUAAUAAUAAUUGGUAUUUAUUGAGUUCUGUUAAGCAUUUUACAUAUUAACUCACUUAAGCCUUUCAACAGCCUUGCAAAAUAGGUAUUAUUAUCCCCAUUUUACAGGCAAGAAAACUGAGGUUUAAGUAACUUGCCGAAGUGCCAUAUACAGGGCUCACAUUCAGUAUUGCAGUUGCAAAGCUCAUGAUCUAUAGUGCCAAGUUGCAAUAUUGUAGUCAAUGUCACAAUUAUUACCCCUUUUUAUAUUCCUUGAUAUUUUUCCAUGGCAAACAAUUAGCUAUUUCAUUUAAUAAUCACCUAAAACUUUUCAGUCUUCUGAUUAAAAUUACGCUGGAGUGAUAGAAUGUAUUUUCAUGAUAGAAAUUGGGAAAAAAAAUGGGGAAUGAAGUUUAUCAGCAUUUCAGACUUGUUUUUUUUUUUUUUUUUUGCAAGACUUUGAUGAGAUUGUUCACUUUUGUCUAUGUAAAAUCCCAAAUCCUUGAGAAUAAAAAAGGGGGAGGUUUAAGUCACUUGUUGCAAUGCCCUUUUUAAUAGAGGCAAUAAAUCUAAAGGCCAUAAAUUUAGAGUGACUUACAGAAGAUCGAACUUUGGAGUGUGGCAGAGUAAGGGAUGGAAACCGGGCCCUCCAGUUCACUAUCAGUAGCUUUUGCACUGGUCUGCCCUUCCUAAAUUAAGUAUGCACUUCAAUUUGAUGAGUGGAAACAGUCUAUCUGGGCAGUAACCAGGGAGCUUUGUGCCUAGUAGAUUGCUUCUGUUCUGCACUUCUUUGGUUUCCCACCUCAAUGUAAAAAAUAGCUAGCAAUGAAGUCCAGAAGUUGUCAAUGGUUCAUCCCCAGAAGAAUGCAUAAUGUCCAAAGUUGUAUGUGUAUGAUGUCUUCAAUGGUAUUAAGUUAUUUCAAAUUCUUAGUUCACCUACAUAAAUCAUUUCUAACAAGCAUCUUCUUAACCAACUUUAUGCACAGUGUAUGUUUGUAAGUGCUUCUGCACGAAUGUUUAUACAUGACUGUUUCCAUAGUACUUAUGUUUUUAAAAAUAUUCAGUCAUUUCCUACUAUAAUCCUCAUGUAUCCAUGUAACUGACUCAAAAAUACUUCAGCCACAGAAAGCUAAAACUGAGCAAAUCUCAUUCUUCUUUUCCAUCCCCUUUGCAUGUGGCUGGCAUUUAGUAAUGAUUAAUAAUAUGGCCAGCUGAAUAACAGAGGUUUGAGACACAAUUCUUUCUCAAAGGAGUCAGCUAAGCUGGGUCUACUUAUGGACAAACAUCUAAAUGUGUGGAAGUAUCUGAUAUUUGACAAUGGUAAAUUUCCACUUAGCUAGCUAGCAUUGUCAGACUUCAAUCUCCUCAUGGCUCUGGCCGUCCUGUUUUAAGCAUGAUAAUUGUUGGCCACAUCUCACAUAGUUCUCAUUGAGUGAGUUCAUAAAUAAACAGGGUUUUUUUUUUUUUUUAAAGAGCAGCCAAGCACAAAGUGUGACUUUGUUGACAUUUUAUGUGACUUUGUCAUAUGUUCCUAACCCCCAAUAAAAGCAAUGUUGCAUCAACUGUGAA